rnacentral:misc_RNA from 1 species
GUUCAUACACAUCAUUUCAGUUGUUGCCUUCCUAUCCAUAGAAUGAUCACUGACUUUGUCAUGACAGAAUCUGCAUGGAUAUAGUUUACCACAGCAAGCUGCUCGGAGCUUGCAGUUUCUUUUAUAAUGCUCACAUCCGAACACUUGCUUAUCUGUAUCACGGAAUGAAGGUGAACAUCCUAUUUGAUCUUGACCAUUUGAAGUUUCAACAGAUCUUGCUUCAGACUCCUGCUGAG